rnacentral:lncRNA from 1 species
UUAAUAGUAUCAAGAAAGGAUUCAGUGUUGAGAUCACCAGCUUGAGUAAUGAGUGCAUUUAUAAAGAUAACAUUACCGAAGUAGCCUGGUGGGAGAGGAGGAUUCAAUUUAGAUCGAGCGUCAACUGGAAAGUACAUCUUGGUAGGUUGGUCGUCUGAGAGACCCAUUGCUUUACUUACGCAGCGCCAUAUAUGUGCAGCCAAGAUGUUGUAACUACUAUACUUUGUACCACUACUGUUUGCAGCAGCUUUGGCUUUCAGGGCAUUCAAUUGAUCAACUGUAAGCUUAAAAGUGGAGACAGUGGAUGGCUUAAGAUCAGAUUCAACAGCCUUCAAUGGAGGAGAAGGCUCAUAUUCAAUAUGGUGGAAUUUAGGCAUUGGUCGGACUCGAGCACGAAGAAGAGUUCGAUCGAUGAAUGGUGCAAUGGCAGGCGAGACGCCUCGGGCGGUGUCAGCCCAACUAUUGAUGAAAUGAAUAGCCGAUGUGCCAUCUCCUAAAGUAUGUUGAAACCCAACUCCCAAACAAACACCACCGCAUUUGAACUUAGUUACCUGCUAAAUUAUACAUAAUAAAUAUCAACCAUUAUUAUUAUUUGACUUAAUAUAACAUUGGGUACCUAAACCUAACAUUUUUUCCAAUUUGAUACCUAAAAUUUGUUUGGCCCAAUUUGGUACUUGAACUCGGCAUAUUUUUUUUCCAAUUUGAUACCUAAGCUUUUGCUUAGAUUCAAUUUGAUACCUAAAUUUAUUAAAUGCUAUGCAAAUUACGCAAAACACUAAAGGUGUUUUUUUUAUGCUACCAAAAUAUUGUCAAUAUUUGAGGAAAAUCAUUAUUUUCAAUUAAUAAAAUAAAUAAAUAAAUAAACUAAAAGUAAUUAAACAUAUAAAAUAAUAUAUAUAUCAUAUCAUCUGUCACAUGUCCGUCUGAUUAUUUUUUCUACCUCGUAAAAAAUAACAUUGUUGGUAUAUUUGAGUAUAGUUUGUAAAACGCUUGACAAGUUCAAGUACCAAAUCGAACAAAAAAAAAGAUAGGUACUAAAUUAGCAAAUAGAGUUAAGUUCAGGUGCUAAAUUGAACACCAAAAAAGAUUAAGUAUCAACUUAAGAAAAAGUGUCAAGUUUAGGUACUAAAUUAGGAAAAAUUGUAAAGUUUAGGUACCAAAUUAGACCAAAAAAAUUAGGUACCAAAUUAGAAAGAAAGUGUUAAAUUCAAGUACUAAAUGUUAUAAAUCCGUAUUUUAUAAACUAAUAUGUUGUUUUUUCUUUUUUGAGAUAUUCUAUAUUGUGUUAUUUUUAUAUAUUAUGUAAUUUAUAAUACAUUCAAAAAAUAAACUUAUACUAAAUAUAUAAUAUUACUCUAAUGUAAACAUUAAAAAAAAUUGUUAAGAUCACUAUAUAAAAAUUUUCAAUAAACAAAAAAUGUAUAAAAUUAUUAAAUAUUAAAAUAAUAUAAUAUAAAUAUUUUUUAAAAAUUAAAAAAUAAUAUGGACGAACAUAAAAUGUGCUUUGGGUUAAUCUUUUACAAAUAUAGACGAAUUUUGACAAAAUUUUAAACCCAGAUUUCAGGCUGAGCCAAGAUUAAGUAAACAUAAAGCAUGUUAAUAUCCUGCUUAAGCCUAACUUGGCCCGACCCAUUAAUACUCUUGUGCAAAUUAGACCUCAAAAUAGAUUAACUACCAACUUGAAAAAUGUGUUUAAGUACCAAAAAUAGAAAAAUUGUGUCAAAUUCAGGUAGGAAAUAUUAGAUUGAGUUUGGAUGAGCGGUGCGUUUACCCGCGGUUAGUGUAAAAACAGCGGUGGCGGUGAGAUUAGAUACUGUAGUGAUACUGUAGCAUAAGACAAAAAGUAAGCUAAACGUACCGUACCACACAUAAUCGCUGAUCCAAACCCACCCUUAGUGUAUAAUAAUUGGGUUUACCUGCACUACAAGGAGUGGAUAAGAGGAUAUUCCUCCAGAAUAGUCAACUUUAGGAACUAGGUGAGAGUUGUGAGUAAAAUCACCAUUACCAACCAAAUCUUCCAACACUGAACUAGUUUCAGCUUCAACGAAUGGAACUCCUUCAUCGUUGCAUAUUAUCUCAAGUCUUCCAUUUUCAUCAUACCCCAACCUUCCUGCAAUAGGGUAAAAUGGGACAAGAACCUUGCUCAAACCCUCUUUAACCCUUCCAGUAUCGAAGAAAUCAGAACAACCAUUUGGCUUAUAAAAGUAUACAGUAGAGACGUGGUAUCUUGAAAUCAGUAGAUCUAAAUUGGAGUUCCAUAUACUUCCUUUGGGAGUGUGUUCUUCAGCUGGACGAACCAUGGUAGACUCCUUUAUACUGAUCUCCAUCUCUAUAUAAAUGUCAAAAAAAUGAGUAGUUCUCACUUCUCGCUCACAUCUUCAAAUGAAUAGGAUGAGAAAAUAUGCAUAAACUUCUACUUCUACUCAAUGCUUGAAAGAUAAAAGAGAGAGACUAGAAUAUUGAUUACCUUAAAUAGUGUAAACCAGUGCCGGAAGAACAACGUUUGUAUGAAGGGGACGAAGGGAGACCUGAUCAAUUUAUAGACCCACAAACUGCAAUUUCUAGCCAUCUAUACUACUGCCAACUAGAGGUGUACAUGGGCCCGGCCCAUCCCGAUGACCCGUCUAAAAUAUGGAAUGGUUCGGAUAAAAAUAUAGGCCCGAAAUAUGGGUUUGGGCAAAAAAAAGAGGCCCGUUUAGAAAACGGGUCGGGCCUCGGGCACAACUUUUUUGGCCCGGGCCCGGCCCAAAUUUAAUAAAUAUAUUUUUAUUUUAUUUUUUUAUUUUAAUAUACUUUUUUUAUUUUUUAUUUUUAAAAUAAUUUUUUGGUGUUUAUUAAAAAAUGGGUCGGGCUUGGGCUUAGGAUUUUAUUCUCGGGCCAGUCCUGUACAAAAUUUUAGGCCCAUAUUUCGGGUCGGGUCGGGCCCAGGCCUAGGAGUCAGGCCAAAUUUUUUUGGGCCCAGCCCGGCCCGGCCCAUGGACACCUCUACUACCGACAUUUCUCUAUUCUAGAUUAAUGGUUUUAAAUUCCGAUGUAUAUAUAAUUUAAUUGUGAAUGUAUUUAAAUAGGUGGAUUAACACGAUUCAGCACGUUCGAACUCACGUCAUCCUGCACUGACAACAAUGCCAAUGCAAACCGAGCCAAGACUCAAUCGGCUCAUUUAUUAAAGUUUUAUAUAUGAACUACUUAACAUUUUUCAUGUUUAUAUUAUAGUAAUAUAUAUUACUAUAAGUUUAAAUUUUUUUAUGUUAUAAAUUACAUAAUAUGUAAAAAUAACAUAACAUACUAUAAUAUAUUACAAAUUUUAAAACAAGUGGGGUCAAGCUCGAGCCUUAAAUUUUUAAGCUCGAACCUGACCCAUAUUUUAAAUGGGCAUAAUAUAUUUGCUUAAACUAUCUUAAAUUUCAAGCGAGUCUUUAGACACUUUUGAACAUGGACUGAUAACUCGACCCUUGAAUAGAUCUUUUAUUUCUUUUUUAACAUAAAACCAACCAGGGUCACCUCAAUUUUUUAAGUAACAUCACUAAUUACAGCAUUAUGGAUAUCCACUGGGAAAUCCAUAUCAAAGAAACAAGUUUUUACCUCAUUAUACUUUAUUACAUGACCGUUUGGUCCAAAUCAAAGUGGCACAUUUAAAAUGCGCGCACCAAUAAUGGUGAGAUCCGUACCAUUGUAGGUCGAAUGAUCAGUUUCAAAUAUCACAUCCCCUUUAUUUUUCAGCUGUCACGCCAGCUGGAUACUUUUUUUCAAACGCCAGGCACUCUACUUCCUGCACCGAAACCCUUGCAUCAGUAAAGUCCCCCCUACCUCCGAAAACAAAUCCAUGGUCGUCCCGUACAAUCGCUCCAUAGUCCAUACCCUCCGAUGGAAAGAACAGCGCCCGAGAUGUUGGACAGUCCUUCAUCGAAUGGAUCACGGUCUCAUCCUCUACCCCUCAUCUUGGACACUUCUGUUCAAAGUCGCGCCUAAUCGAAGCAAUUUUCACAUUUGUAGGGAAAAUCUCGUGUCCCUCACGCCAAUUAAACAUCCUAAGCUUGGGCAUAGUCUCAAGUGUACAUCUUUUCUUUCCUUUCAUUCUUUGCUUUUAUGGGUGUUUUUGUUUGAUUGUUUUCUUGUUCUUGUUUGAUGCUUAUUUGAUUCAAUUAUAUUGUUUCAUGUUUACAUUAUAUUAUAUUUUACCUAAAUCCUUAAGAAUUUCAGACAAAUCUUUCAAUCUAGAUGAGUAAUUCGACCUAUAAACACGUCUAUAAUAUUUUAAAUAAUAAAAUGAAGUAUGAUUUUAGUAGGAUAAUGUCGCAUGAUUUUACAUUAUAAAUUUAUUUCCGUAAUCAUAAUAAACAUAUAAUUUUUAUAUUAACUUUUUUUAAUAAUUGAAAAUAUAAAUAUUUUAGAAAUUUUAGAUAUUAUUAUUAUUAUUAUUAUUAUUAUUAUUAUUAUAAUAUUGUGUGUUUGUGUUAGAAGUGAUUAUGGUAACAUAAUUUUAGGUCUAUUUUUUUAGGUUUGGUUCGAAAAUUGGCCUAAAAUUUUACAUAAACUCAACUCGGAUAAAAAUAUUAAAAUUCAAGCUUGACUCGACUGGUCUGUAUUAAAAUUUUUAUAUAAAAAAUUUAAAAAAUAUUAUAUAUCAAAUAUACUAAAAAUAUUAAAAUAAAUGUUUGAAUAAUAUUAAGAUAGGUGCAACUUAAUAAGUAAAUGACUCUAAAAUAGUAGCAAAAUUAAUAAUAAAACAAGAGUUAUAUAAUAUCCAAACAUUAACAACAAAAUAGUAACAAUAUACUAACGAAAUGACAAUAAACAAUGACAAAACAACACCACAGCAGUGGGAACACUAGCAAGUUUUUUUUUUUGUUGCAAAUUUGGGUUGAGUUCGGGCAAAAAAAGAGUCUAUUUUUAAGCCUAUAUUUUUACUCAAACCCUCACAUUUUUUGGGUAAACCUUCAAGUCGAACCAUAAUCAGGUCUAGUUUGUAUACCAAGGGACCAUUGGCAACUCAUUGAAAUCUAAAGAAUGAAAAUUUUGAGGCCACCAAAUAUGAAGGGACCAUUCACGAACAACAAAUAGGACAUGGUUGUAAAUGAUUAUGUACCAUCAAAGACAGCUGCAUGUGAUAAACUUGAAAAGCUAAUGGUAAGGUUAUUUUAAUAUAAAUAAAGUUGUUAGACCAUUUAUGAGAAGACUUUUUCAUGGCGGAUGUUCUAUGCGAGGUGUUCUACUCGUAGUUUCGAGGGUAUUCACGUUUGGCAUAUACCUGCUUUGAUCGAAAUCUUUGGAGAUGAUUUUAUAUUACAAUUCGGUAGAAGAACUUUAGAACACUCUUGAGAAAAUGCAUCAGGUGUCAUAAUUAAUCGAGUAGCUUUAGAAGCAUGUGUACAAGCUUAUAAUGAGGAAUGUGACCUUACUCGCAAGAAUAAUAAAAUUAUCCACGAGGCCAACAAAUGGAGUCCUGAACUAACUGCUGCCAAGAACACAUUGUUUAUUUUAAAAUUUAAAUUCAUUCUAUACAAAUUAACCCAACAUGAAUUCAAUUUAUACAAUUAAAUAAUAAUGUGUGUAAUUGAAACUUAGAAAAACUAACCCUAGACUACAACUCCUCACUUUCUAAAGGUUAAAUCUUGACAAUACCACAACACUAAACCCUUAAUCCAUCUGACAAAUUGAAACGAAUCAACUUCUUCAUUCAUAGUGAUAAAUGAUUUUCCAUUUUACGGUUGUGAAUUAUGCAACCAAAACUUUAUUUUGUUUUAAAAUGUUCAUCACUAAGCUUGCACACGUAAUUAGCAUGGCCAGCAAUGGAAUCCGAGCCACGAAGGAUGAAAUUCUCUAAACCAAUUUGGACUGAGCAGAAAUUGCCCAUGAUUCUGGUGAAUGAAAGAUGAAAGGAAGGAAACUGAAUGAGAUGUGGAUGCAAAGUGACUUGUGUUAAAAAUAAAGUUAGGUAAAGUGGAAAAGUCAAAGAAAAUAAAGUUAAAAUGAAGUUAGAGAAGAUGGGGUUUCAACAGAUUGAGGUGGUAGGCAGCUGUGGCACAGUUAAACUCCCAUCAUUUGCUGCCCCGUACGAGGUAGGCGACCCCAUCCGAUGUCUACUUUUCUACAGAGGCAACCGCAUUUAAAUAUUUUCAAUGAAUUUUAAUUACGUCUGCUAAAACCUUAUAUGACUAAUCGCAUGUUAUUCAUUGUUAAAAAAAAUUACUUUUGGCUUUAAAAAUACUUUUAAAAGAAAAAUUAUGUAAAAUAAACGGUUGUUUGUUGAAAUUUUUAGUGUUUUAAAAGUAUUUUUCAAAAGCACUCCUGAAAAUGAGAAGCUAAAAAUUUUAACUUUUUCUCUCUCAAAAGUACUUUUGAUGCUUAAUUACUUUUUACCCCUCUAAUAACAUAGUAUUUUCCUUUUCUUUAUUGGUGCUUAAUUACAAAUGUGUUAAAAUGAUUAAUUAAAAAUAAAAAAAUUAAAAUACAAAUUACAAAUAUUUAAUGGUUAUAUUUAAAUAUUUAAAAUAUAUUUUAUAUAUUCUAAUUAAAUUUUAUAAAUAAUUAAUAUUUAUUGCUUAAAAAUAUUUAAAAUUUAUAUUUCAUAUAUUAAAAUAUUAAGCAAGUUAUAAUAAUUUUUUUAUAUUCUUACUAAAAAAUAAUAAUAACUAAUUUAAAUAUUAUUUAAAUGCAUAUUUGUUACUUGAUAAUAACAUGUCUAAAAUGGACAUUUUAUUUCUCAAAAGCACUUUUGGACAGCAAUGCUAAACACUCAAAUUUUAAACCGCACUUUUCUAAACUAGCCUUAAAGGUUUUCAACGACUUUAAAUAUUUUCGAUGAUUUUUAAUUAAUUUUUUUAAUGAUUAUGAUGGAUGUUAAUAGAUUAAUUUUUUCUUCUAAAAUCAAACAAAUAUAAAGGGUGUCCCACAUAGAGGUGCUCAUGGGUCGGGCGGCCCGGCCCGGCUUGACAGCCCACCCGAAAUAUGGGAGGGUUUGGGUAAAAAUAUAGGCCCGAAAUAUGUGCUUGGGCAAAAAAAUGAGGCCCGAUUAAAAAAUGGGCCGGGCCUCGGGCACCACUUUUUUGGCCCGGGCCCGGCCCGGCUCGAAUAAUAAAUAUUUUUAUUUUUUAUUUUUUAUUUUUAAAAUAAUUUUUUUAAUUUUAAACUAUUUUUAAAUUUUUUUAAAAUACUUUUUUAAUUUUUUUAAUUUUAAAAUAUUUUUAAAAUACUUUUUUAAUUUUUGUUUUAAUUUUUAAAAUAUUUUUUUGGUAUUUAUUUAAAAAACGGGCCGGGCCGGGCUGGGCCCGGACUUAUGAAUUUUUCUCGGGCCGGGCCUGGGUAAAAUUCUAAGCCCAUAUUUUGGGCCGGGCCGAAAUUUUUUCUAGGCCCGGCCCAUGACAACCUCUAGUCCCACACCCCAAUUAAACAUCCUAAUCUUGGGCAUAGUUUCAAGUAUACAUCUUUUGUUUCCUUUCAUUCUGUGUGUUUUAUGGGUGUUUUUGUUUGAUAUUGUUUUCUUGUCUUGUUUGAUGCUUAUUUGAUUCAAUUAUAUUGUUUGAUGUUUAAAUUAUAUUAUGUUUUACUUAAAUCCUUAAAAAUUUCAGCUAAAAUUUUUAAUCUGGAUAAGUAAUACGACCCAUGAACAUGUCUAUAAUAUUUUAAAUAACAAAAUGAAAAAUGCAAUUUACAUUAUGAAGGUAGAAAACAUGAUUUUAGUAGGUUAAUGUCGCAUGAUUUUUCAUUAUAAAUUUAUUUCCGUAAUCAUAAUAAACAUAUAAUUUUAUAUUAACUUUUUUUUAAUAAUUGAAAGAAAUAAAUAUUUUAGAAAUUAUUAUUAUUAUUAUUAUUAUAUUGUGUGUUUGUGUUAGAGGUGAUUAUGGCUUGAACAUAAUUUUAGGUCUACUUUUUAGAUUUGGUUCGAAAAAUGGGUCUAAAAUUUUACAUAAACUCGGUUAGGAUAAAAAUGCUAAAAUUCAAGCCCGAUCCGACUGGUCUAUAUUGAAAUUUUUAUAUUAUUAUUUUUAUAUAAAAAAAUUUAAAAAUAUUAUACAUCAAAUAUACUAAAAACAUUAAAAUAAAUGUUUAAAUAAUAUUAAGAUAUGUGCAACUUAGCAAGUAAAUGCCUCUAAAAUAAUAGCAAAAUUAACAAUAGAACAAGAGUUGUAUAAUGUCCAAACAUUAACAACAAAAUAGUAACAAUAUACUAGCGAAAUGUCAGUAAAACAGUGACAAAACAACACCAAAACAAUGGAAACACUAGCAAGUUUUUUUGUUGCAAAUUUGGGUUAAGUCCGGGCACAAAAGGAGCUCAUUUUUUGAGUCUAUAUUUUUGCCCAAACCUUGACAUUUUUUUUGUAGAUCAUCAACCCGGGCCAUGAUCAAGUCUAAUUUGUAUGGCAAUGCAACUUAAAGCCAACUUAGCAAAGUAUUUGGAAUUAUUGAAUGAAAAUUUCUCAAUAAGAGAAAUUUGAGGUUACCAAAUAUUAAGGGACCAUUAGCAACUCAUUGAAAUCUAAAGAACGAGAAAUUUGAGGCCACCAAAUAUGAAGGGACUAUUCAUAUACAACAAAGAGGAUAUGCUUGUAAAUGAUUAUGUAUCAUCAAUGGAAGCUGAACGUGAUAAACUUGAAAAGCUAAUGGUAAGGUUAUUUUAAUAUAAAUAAAGUUGUUGGACCAUUUAUGAGAAGGCUUGCUCAUGGCUAAUGUUCUAUGCCAGGUGUUCUACUCGUAGCUUCGAAGGUAUUCACGUUUGGCAUAUACCUGCUUUGACCGAGAUCUUUGGAGAUGAUUCUAUACUACAAUUCGGUGGAGGAAUUUUAGAACACUCUUGGGAAAAUGCAAUAUGACAAGACGCCAAGGUGUAUAUGAAGUCAUUAUCUUUAAGGUUCUAUUCGUCCCCACCUAUAUUCAGUGUGCAAAUAAGUUUCAAGCAAAUGAACCUCGAGGAUACAAUGAAUCUUGGUAACUAUUUGAGUUUUGCACUGACGAAAAUAGCCCACUAAGCAUUGAGCAGAGUAUAACAAGAAAAUCAAUUUCUAUAAAGAAUUUCUACAAUAAUCCUUUAUAGAACAAUCUAAGAAUAGUAGAAGAUGGAGGGAUGAUCAUAAGAACUUCUGAGAACUUUUUUGUAUGUUUUCAAAAUAAAUCUCAUCUCUAUUUAUAGGAAUUCUCAUGUCUCUUCACAGAAACAUAACUUUCAAUAUGCGUCUUUUUUCAAAUAAUCACAUCUUUAAAAGAGAUAUAAUUAUUCAAUUAAUAUCUCUUCAAUAAACAUAACUAUUCAAGUAAUAUUGCUUGAAUAAUUGUAAAUCUUUGUUAAAAAUCAAGUGAUGUAACUUUUGAUCAACAACCAAAAUAUAUAACUUUUGAUUAAUUGCAACCUUUCAUUUAUAGUUAUUGGAACACCAUAAAUAUUUGAAAAUAUUCCAACAGAUGUGUCAGCCACGUGUAUGCAAUGCUAGUAAAGUUUAAAAAUAUUAAUUUUUCUAUUCAUUUUAGGGUGAUUUGACAAAAAAAAACCGUAAGAAUUAGGGCUAAAAACGUUUAAAAAAUAAAUGGAGGGUUAAAAUGAUUUUUUUUUUAAGUUGGAGGGUGGAAGAAAGUAUUAUGCCUUAUAUUUACAAAUCUUAUUUCAAUUUUUGAUUAACACAACUAAGCUUGGGUCUAACUAAGGGUUGGAGGGGUUGUUAGUAUAUUUAAUUCUUUUUAGGCAUAAUGUAAAUUUUAGUUAUUAAUAUUUGCAUCUUUUGUCAAUUUGAAACUUAUUCUUUUCUUGAGCUAAAUUUGGCUUUCAACCUUUUAAAAAGAAUCAAAUUUAGCCAUUAAUAUUUUGAAAAAGAGUUUAAAUGAUCUUUUUAACAGAAAUACUAACUAAAAUGUUAAAAAAAAAGACAAAGGCAACCCAAGAAUGGACCUGCCCAUGGGCCUCAGGUUUUCCUUAAGAUAUCUCUGUGGAAGAGGUCCUCAAAUUUGGGCUAAAGGCAAGUUGAGCCCUAAGUUUAUUAGGUCUUAUAGAAUUUAAAGACAAGUGGGUCAAGUUGCCUAUUAGUUGGAGUUGCCUUUGGAGUUAGACUGCAUACACGAUGUGUUUCAUACCUCUAUGCUAGGAUGAUAUCAGUCUGAUCCAUCUCAUAUUGUUCUAGUUGAUGAGAUUCAGGUGAGGCCAGAUUUGACUUUUGAAGAGGAACCAGUGCAGAUUCUGGAUUGAGAAGUUCUUGAGAAGGAAGAACAUUCUUUUAGUUAAGGUUUAGUGGUGGAAUCAAGGUAUUAACCACACCACUUGGGAGCCAGAGGACUCGGUUCGACAACAAUAUCUGCAUCUGUUUGAGUUAGGUAAAUUUCGAGGACAAAAUUUUUUGAAGAAAGAGAGAGUUGUAACACCCAAAAUUUUUAUUUUUGAAUUGUUAAAUCGUGUCAAGUAAAUUGAUUUGAGUUUAAUGGAUAAGUGUUUUGUUUAUGUUCCUAAGGUCCUGCGCUCAAAUCUCUUCUCUUUAAAUUUUGUUGUUUUUAUUCCAACUAUUGACUUUGAACAUCUAACAUAUCUUUAAAUUUUGGGUAAUUGUUGGCAUGAAUGAGCUUGUUGGUUUAGUGGUAAAGCUUUAGCUUACCUAGAUUUCCUUUGUUUGAAUCUUGUGCAUUAUUUUCUGCUAUUCUCUUAUUCAUUCUUUCUUCUUCCUUUUUAUUCUUAUUUUUCUUCCUUCUUAUCUGCUGUUGAAAUGGGUUGUGCUAACGUCCAUUUCUGGAGUUCAUUGUUGGCCCGUAAGUUGUAAGUGGGAAUAGGAUUUGUAAUCAUAACUCCUUUCGGUGAUGUGUGUUAUCCGCUCACUUUUUGAGAAUGUUAUUUUUCGGUUUGUUGUAACAAUGGACGCCUAAUCAUUCCUAAUGUAUGAUUCUAUUUAGGUGAGAAUCAAGCAGCGCAUUUUCCGCUAUUGAGUUGAGUAUCGGCAGUCUUUUCUUCAAAGGGUAAGUUAUUGAAUGCCCAUAUUAGGGGUUGGUUUGUGAUAAUUUAGUUUACAAGGAUCGGAUGUCUUGUGAUGUUCCAUCGCAUAGUAUGUCAUGAUGUAUAUUCUGUACAAUUUCUGGCUCCUGUGUGAUUUUGCUAUCUAUUUUGUUUGUAUGAGCUGAGUUACACAUUGAGCUUUGUAAGCUCACCCAAUUUUUCUGACUUCUCAGGUAAUCCACAAACUUAGGAUUGGGCGGCGCGCGAAAGCUCGGAUUAAUUUCUUGGUUAAUAAAAUAAGACGAUUUAUGUUUUAAUUUAAUUUUGAAAUUUUGGAAUUGUAAAUCUGUUUUUGGACUUUACUUUACGGUUUGGUUUAUUUACGUCAGAUUUUGGUAUUUUUAUCAUUAAACUACAAAAGCACAUGAUUUAUCAAAUUAGAAUCUUGGUUUUCAAAACUAAAACUCCGAAAUCCCCGUUGCAAAGAUUAAGCAAUCAAUUAAGUGAUUUUUGUGAAAUAAAUAAUUUUAACGAGCAUUUUCUUAAAAACUUGUAAGAGACUUACCAAAAUUAAUAUUGUCGAAACACAUGUUUUUUUAAAUUUAAAAUUUGAGUUUAAAACAAGUUUAUGUAAUUUCUCAAGACUCAACCAUAGCAUUUAAGUUGAGUUUAUGUAAUUUUUUAAAUUCAAAGUAGAGGAACAAUAUACUUGAAAUUUAGGUUUAGAGAAUGUGAUGAAUGGUCAACUUCAAGAGUUUUAGAAUUCUCUCCAUUUUUGAAUGAUGAUCCCAGAGAAACAUCUCUCGAGAUUGGUGCUUGAUGCAUAGAUAACUUGAUAUCUUGAAAACUUUUUUCACAAUGAUUAUCAAAGGAGUCAUCAACAAAAUGAGUGGAUAUGCCUUCGAUAAAUCCAGCUUCUCCACACCUUCAACUGGAACGAGAAAUCAACAGCUUACUUGAAUAAGCUAAGGCAAACAAAUGAAAAGUUCAUCCACAAUGUAAAUCUACUGUGAGAUCAUGUCCCCCUCUCAUAAAAUAUUUUUCAUAUUCAUCAAACCACCUACAAAAUUUAGUAAAUGAGCUUUAAUUUUUGCCCAAAUUCAUUUUCCGGAUCUAUUAUUUUGCUCAAACUCUCUCACUUUUCGAACAAGCCUUCAAGCUUGGGUGAGUAAUCUGACCCAUGAUCAGGUCUACUAAACUCUUAGUCAAAACUUAAUAAUGUGCCACAUGGCACAAUUUAAUUGGUCAACAUGCGAUGUUAGCAAAAAAAAAUUAACAGUGUUAGGGCUAAAUAGGGCUAAAUACCACUUUUUAUAAAUGGAAUUAAAAUUCAGGUACCAAACUUGAUAUUUUAUAAGUAGAGGUACCACAUUGGAACAAACUCUAAAGUAUAGAGGCCAUUCAUUCCAUUAUCCCUUAAUUUUUUUUUCUGUUAACGGCUCCUGUAGUUUCAUUGAAGUAGAUUUUUGUGAAUAUUUUUAUAAUUUUUAAAUUAUUUGUUGAUGUAGUUUAUAAGAUAAAUAGUACUAUGUCAAAAUAAAGUAAACAUGAACUAUUACAUGGAUUGUCACACCAACCAGUGGCAAAACUAGGGGGAUAGCAGGGGCCUGGCCCCCUUAAAAUGAAUUUUUUUUCAUUUAGAUCUCUUUAUAAUUUAUAUAAUUUUAAAUUAAUAAUAGUAAAAUUACACUUUGACCUCCAAAAUGAUAAAAAUUUAAUUUAAUUCUUUAAAAUUUAUAAAGAUAUAGGCUAUUAAAAUGGUAAAAUGCACUUUGGCCUCCCAAAAUGAUAAAAAUUUGAUAUAAUCCUUUAAAAUUUAUAAAGAUAUUGUCUAUUAAAAUAGUAAAAUUGCAUUCUUACUAUCAUAGAAAUAUACAAUUUAAUUCUGGCCCCCCCCCCCAAAAAAAUUUAUGAGUUCGCCCUUAUCUCUAACUUCAUUAAAAAGUUAAUAUUUUAACUAACAUUUUCACUUAAAAAACACACAUUGACUCUUUUUUUAAAAUUAAUACCCAAAUAUAAAUAAAAGAAUAGGGAUCAAAUUAACAAAAGAUAUAAACAUUAAGGAUUAAAUUUGACAUUAUGCCUUUAUUUUUUAACUACAUGGACGGGUUCUCCAUCACCAUGGGAUCAUUUUUCAUUUAUUACAACCGUGCUCUAUGCGUAAACGUUCUUUGUUAAAACUCAUAAAGGAGUUUCUCAAAACAUGACAUGUGAGAAAUCCCCAAGCGAGUUGCCACUAACAAGCUCCCAUCAUUAAUGGGGUUUGGCAGUAGUAAAACCUUGCCUUCAUGAUUGACAUCUGCUGGCCCCGUAUGAAUGGGGCGAUCCCAUCCAAAAUCUACUUCAUAUAUAGGCAACCACAACCAAGAGUUUACAAGGAGGUUUGGGCAUCGGCAAGUGUGCGGCCCUCUAACCAAAGUGCUUAAAUCAGACACUGUUUCAAUGUAAUCAAGAGCUGACCUCAAAUAUUCAUCAUUAAUCUUCUUUAACCCUUCAUGGAUCCUCUUAAUAGUAUCAAGAAAGGAUUCAGUGUUGAGAUCACCAGCUUGAGUAACGAGUGCAUUUAUAAAGAUAGCAUUACCGAAGUAGCCUGGUGGGAGAGGAGGAUUCAAUUUAGAUCGAGCGUCAACUGGAAAGUGUUGUUCCAAUAGGGUCGGAAGCGUGUAAAUUAUUAUACUAAAAAAUCACACAAAGUUCAAUUCCCAGGGAAGAGAGGUGGAUCACAAGGAUCUCUUAAAUACCAAGUCUUUCCUUAGUCAGAAUAUUCCUUCUAACGUAAUUUAAUAGCACAAUUAAAUACUACUAUUAUACCCUCAAAUAUUGAAAGAAAAAUAGGACAAAAAGAACACAAGAGUUUUAACGAGGUUCGGUAAAUUAUACCUACGUCCUCGGGCUACUAAAACCAGAUGAUAACUUUACUAUCUCCAAAAUAUUACAAACAAAUAGAAUUCCUUAAGAAUUCUCAAAUGGGAGAAGAUAGAAAACUAAGAGAGAAAGAUUGGUUGGGAUGAAUUGAAAUGAGAAAUGAGAAGGCCUAUUUAUAGUUGAGGUUUAAGGACCAAACAAUAAAUAGCCCAUUAUCUCAAGGACCAAAAAAAAUUAUCCCAUGCCACUUUUUCAAAGUCAACUUUAGGGUGCUAAACUUGCACCACUUGGAUUGUUUUCCAUUAAAAUUGUCUGCCAUUAAUCAUAAUGUUAACAAUCUCCACCUUGAAGAUUUGAUUAGGAUAAUCACAUCUUCACACACUUCCUUCAACUCCCCAAAUUUGAUAAAGCUAUCUUUUGUAGUGCCUCCAAAUGCACUCUCGAGCGCCAUACACCUGAAGGUGCUCAAAUUCUCAGGAUGUUAAUCAAGUUCAAACAAUGAUUAAACUUGAUUGUUGUUACCACCUUGGUCAUCAUAUCUGCGGGAUUAUCUGCUGUUGGAAUCUUCUGAAGUAGAAUUUUUCCUUUUUCAAAGACUUCCCGCACAAAGUGAUAUCUUACGUCGAUAUACUUGGUUCUUGAAUGAUAGACUUGAUUUUUCGCUAAAUGAAUAGCGCUCUGACUGUCACAAUAUAAACUUAUGUGACUUUGAACAACUCUUAAGUCUUUCAACAAUCCAUUAAGCCAAAUAGCCUCCUUAACAACUUCUGUAACUGCCAUAUAUUCUGCCUCUGUAGUAGACACAGCUACUGUAGACUGUAAGGUAGACUUCCAACUCACUAGGGCUUUCGCAAGAGUAAACAGAUACCCCGUAGUUGAACGACGCUUAUCUAAAUCACCAGUAAAGUCGGAAUCAACAUAUCCAACUACAAACUGACCAAGUGCUUCGUCCUGUUCAAAAAUUAAACUAACAUCUACGGUUUUUCGAAGAUACCGUAGAAUCCAUUUCACAACUUGCCAAUGUCCUUUUCCAGGAUCAUGCAUAUACCUGCUCACAACUCCAACAACUUGUGAAAUGUCAGGCCGCGUACACACCAUCGCAUGCAUUAAACUCCCAACUGGAUUAGCAUAUGGGACUUUUGCCAUAUAUUCUCUUUCUUCUUCAAUUUUCGGAGAUAAUUGAGCACUAAGUUUCAAAUGAGAAGCAAGUGGGGUACUUACAUGUUUUGUGUUUUCAUUUACACCAAAACAUUGUAAUACCUUUUUCAGAUAUUGCUUCUGAUUCAAACAAAGCUUGCCUCUCUGUCUAUCUCUACUUAUCUCCAUGCCGAGAAUCUUCUUGGCCUCACCUAGAUCUUUCAUCUCGAACUCUUGAUUCAACUGAGCCUUCAGCUUAUCUAUCUCUUUUUGGCUCUUCGAAGCGAUUAACAUAUCAUCAACAUACAAGAGUAGAUAAAUGAAAGAUCCGUCAUGCAGCUUCUGCAAAUACACACAAUUGUCAUAUUUGCUUCUUGUGUACUUCUGCCUUCUCAUAAAGCUAUCAAAUCGCUUGUACCACUGCCUCGGGGAUUGCUUCAAUCCAUAUAGCGAUUUGUUCAGCUUACAAACCCAAUUUCUACCACCAGUAUCUGUGUAUCCUUCGGGCUGAGUCAUAUUGAUCUCCUCUUCUAACUCACCAUGCAAGAAAGCCGUCUUAACAUCAAGUUGAGCUAGCUCCAAAUUCAACUGUGCUACCAAGGCCAACAAAAUUCUAAUGGAGGAAUGCUUCACAACAGGGGAAAAUACAUCAUUGUAGUCAAUUCCCUCCUUCUGAGCGUAGCCUUUAGCUACCAAUCUUGCCUUGUAGCGAAUAUCUUUCUUGCUAGGAGAUCCAUCUUUCUUUGCGAAUACCCACUUGCAUCCGAUUGCCCUUUUACCUUUCGGUAAUUGCGCCAACUCCCAAGUAUUGUUCUUCCGGAGAGACUGCAUUUCUUCAUCCAUGGCGCUUUUCCAUUUAUCACUUUCUAAGCUUUGCAUUGCUUCUUGAUAAGUGAUAGGAAUAUCAUCAACAACGGGAAGGGCGUAGGCCACCAUAUCAGUAAAUCGAGCAGGUUUACGAAUUUCUCUCCGUGGCCUUGCAACUGCAACUGGUUCUGGUGUACUUAGUGGUUCUUGGGUCAGAACCUCUUCAACCUCUAAUUCCUCCAUUGUGGCUGGAGAAUUAGACUUAUUAACUGGGCAAAUCCCCAUCUGCUCAAACUCCACCUGUUUUGCAGUACACUCCACCUGCUGUGGAGUAUUGCUCGUCUGAAUAUCUUUAUCUGCUACCUUUUUCAAUGUGGCAGAUUCAUCAAAGGUAACAUCUUUGCUACAGAUCAUUUUCUUUGUGCUUAAGCACCAAAGACGAAAUCCCUUCACUCCAGAAGUGAUUCCCAUAAAGAGAGCUUUCUUUGCCCUCGGAUCUAACUUUGACUCCUUCACAUGGUAAUAUGCAGUGGUUCCAAACACAUGUAAGGAAUCAUAAUCUGUAGCCGGUUUUCCAGACCAUACCUCCAUAGGAGUUUUUCUUUCUAAUGCAGAUGAUGGCAAACGAUUAACAAGAUGGCCAGCGUAUGUCACAGCCUCAGCCCAAAAUUGCUUGCCCAACCCAGCAUUGGACAACAUACAUCGAACUUUCUCCAGCAAUGUUCGAUUCAUACGCUCUGCCAAUCCAUUCUGCUGUGGUGUAUCCCUAACUGUGAAGUGUCGAACAAUACCAUACUCUUGGCACACAUCGAAGAACGGAUCACUUUUAUAUUCCCCUCCAUUGUCCGUCCUAAGCCGCUUAAUUUUCUUGCCAGUCUGCUUUUCGAUCAUAGUUUUCCAUUUAAGAAAAACUCUAAGCAUUUCAUCCUUAGUUCUCAUGGUAUACACCCAAACUCUUCUGGAAAAGUCAUCAACAAAAGUAUCAAAGUAGUGUUUUCCUCCCAAUGAAGGUGUCUUGGAAGGCCCCCACACAUCUGAGUGAACAUAUUCCAAAAUACCUUUUGUAUUAUGGAUAGCAGUACCGAAUUUCACUCUCUUUUGCUUUCCCAGAACACAAUGCUCGCAAAAUUUUAAUUUGCAAGCCUUUGCACCUUUCAACAAUCCUUGCUUUGCUAGAAUUUGCAAGGAUUUUUCGCUGGCAUGUCCCAACUUCAUAUGCCACAACUGUAUUGAGUCCAAUUCUUUGUUGCCGGAAGCUACAGCGACUGCUCCAAUAACUGUACUACCUUGGUAGUAAUACAAGUUAUUUUUCCUGAUGCCCUUCAAUAUCACAAGUGCGCCAGAUGUCACUUUCAAAACCCCAUCUCUCAUAGUAACAACUGAACCAUUGGAUUCCAAGGCUCCCAAUGAGAUGUGAUUUUUCUUCAAACUGGGUACGUACCGAACAUCAGUCAGAACUCUAGUUGAUCCAUCUUUAUUCUUUAAUUGGAUGGAACCUAUCCCAACAGUUUUACAGGCAUUGUCAUUGCCCAUAUAAACAACUCCUCCAUUUAGUUCUACUAAAUCAGAGAACCACUCCCGGUUAGGGGACAUAUGAUAGGUACAACCCGAAUCCAAUAUCCACUCAUCUGAAUGGAACGACGAUGAUGAUGCAACCAGUGAUAGUUCAGAGUCACUAGUAUCAUGCUUAGCAACACAAGCAUCUACAGCAGCUUUUCCCUUAUUCUUCAGCUUUGGACAAUUUUUCUUCCAGUGGCCUUUCUCAUGACAAAAAGUACAUUCAUCUUUCCCGAGUCUGGACUUUGACUUUGAUCUCCUCUUUUGAGUUUUCUUCCGAGUGUAUGAACGACCUCGGACUACUAAAGCUUCUGUAUCUCUGAUUGAGUUUUUCUGUUUGUCCUUCUUUCUCUGUUCAUAACUGUAUAAGGCCGCACAGACUUCGCUUAGAGAUAUAUCACUCCUGCCAUGAAGUAGAGUAGUUUCUAGGAACUCAAACUCCUCAGAAAGUAACCCCAACAGCAUCAAAGCCAAAUCUUCAUAUUUGAAUGUCUCAUCCAUAUUCAGCAAAUCAGUGACUAACUGAUUAAAUUUGGUGAUGUGAUCAUUCAUUGUGGUACUUGGGACGUAUGUGAAGCGAAACAGUCUUUUCUUCAAGUGGAGCUUAUUUUGACUGUUUUUCUUCAAAAGUUUUUCUUCAAGUGCCACCCACAACUUAUUUGCAGAAGUCUCCUUUGAAAAAGCAUACCUCUGCUCUCGAGAAAGGCAUGAUCGAAUUGUGCCACAUGCCAACCGAUUGAUCGCCUUCCAAUCUUUCUCCUGUACAUCAUCUGGUUUCUCUUCAUCAAUGGCAAUGUCUAGACCCUGCUGAAAAAGGGCAUCUAGAACCUCACUUUGCCACAUACCAAAAUGGCCCGUGCCAUCAAAGAUCUCCACGGCCAAUCUUGCAUUUGCAAUUUCCGGUCUUGUCCACAUGGACGAUGUUGAAGCUCCUACACCGACCGUUUUCUCCAUAAUCUUUCAAUAUACCUAAGGAAAUCUUUUCUGAUGUGGAAGAUCAGUUUAAACUGCAACCACAGAGCAUACUACGAUUAACCUUCGGCUCUUGAUACCACUUGUUGUUCCAAUAGGGUCGGAAGCGUGUAAAUUAUUGUACUAAAAAAUCACACAAAGUUCAAUUCCCAGGGAAGAGAGGUGGAUCACAAGGAUCUCUUAAAUACCAAGUCUUUCCUUAGUCAGAAUAUUCCUUCUAACGUAAUUUAAUAGCACAAUUAAAUACUACUAUUAUACCCUCAAAUAUUGAAAGAAAAAUAGGACAAAAAGAACACAAGAGUUUUAACGAGGUUCGGUAAAUUAUACCUACGUCCUCGGGCUACUAAAACCAGAUGAUAACUUUACUAUCUCCAAAAUAUUACAAACAAAUAGAAUUCCUUAAGAAUUCUCAAAUGGGAGAAGAGAGAAAACUAAGAGAGAAAGAUUGGUUGGGAUGAAUUGAAAUGAGAAAUGAGAAGGCCUAUUUAUAGUUGAGGUUUAAGGACCAAACAAUAAAUAGCCCAUUAUCUCAAGGACCAAAAAAAAUUAUCCCAUGCCACUUUUUCAAAGUCAACUUUAGGGUGCUAAACUUGCACCACUUGGAUUGUUUUCCAUUAAAAUUGUCUGCCAUUAAUCAUAAUGUUAACAGAAAGUACAUCUUGGUAGGUUGGUCAUCUGAGAGACCCCUUGCUUUACUUACGCAGCGCCAUAUAUGUGCAGCCAAGAUGUUGUAACUACUAUACUUUGUACCACUACUGUUUGCAGCAGCUUUGGCUUUCAGGGCAUUCAAUUGAUCAACUGUAAG